UUGCAUCAUUGCAGAAUACUCCGCUUUAGGUGUCUCCCCUCCCUGAAUCACAAUAUAUAGGGGGACAACCGACCGAAUCUGAUACAGCAGCUCAGAGAAGGCAACUUCGAGUUCUUUGUCACAGAGCUAUCAAAAGUGAGAUCUCUUCCACCAGACAAUGGCCUUCCAAAAAACGUUUGUCUUCCUGGUAUUUCUCGGGCUGAUUGCUAACACUGAGAUGUCCAGAGGCCAAAACAGGUUACCCUUUCAGCAUAAAAGCAUCAAUGAAAAUGAGAAUCAAAUGGAGACUGCGACGGAAGAACCGUCUGUAAAUCCGGGAGGCACAUUGCCCCGGCAGCUCUCUGGGAGACCGAAGGUAACAUUUUGAUUGGGAAUUGCCCAGAGGUCUACAAUCAUCUAAAGACUGGAUGGUGACAAUCCUUCAUCUUCCAUGACGCUUCAAUCAGUGAUCAAUGAAUGCUUUAAUUGAGUCAAAAUGAAGUCGAUUAUCAGCUAGAGCCACGUCUCUGAGCUUAUUCUAUCAGUUUACUUUCUGAAUAAUGCACAUAUGAUGAACAAGUUUAAAAUUGGUUGCAUCAAUAAAUGUUGUGUUCGAUAAAGUCAAGACCA